ACAGCAGUAGCCGCGGUAAUACGUAGGUCCCGAGCGUUGUCCGGAUUUAUUGGGCGUAAAGGGAGCGCAGGCGGUUUAGUAAGUCUGAAGUUAAAGGCAUUGGCUCAACCAAUGUAUGCUUUGGAAACUGUUAGACUUGAGUGCAGAAGGGGAGAGUGGAAUUCCAUGUGUAGCGGUGAAAUGCGUAGGUAUAUGGAGGAACACCGGUGGCGAAAGCGGCUCUCUGGUCUGUCACUGACGCUGAGGCUCGAAAGCGUGGGUAGCGAACAGGAUUAGAUACCCCGGUAGUCCCUGUCUCUUAUACA
rnacentral:rRNA from 1 species